AAAGUGCCAUCGUUGUAUGUGAUACCUUACGCUCAACAAACUCUAUAAAAAAUGAAAGGCUUGCUGUUAUGCGUUCUCAUCGUUUUUCUGGUUGUUCUAUGGCACGGAUGCGAAAGCAAAAGGAGAAUGCCCAAAGGCUAUAAGGAAUGCCUACAGCCAAAACACAGACGAAGGCGUGAAA